AAUGGACAGAGUUACAACAGAGAAUGAAUGCAUUUGAUGCUCAAGUCAGCAAACAGAAGGAAGAAUAUCUAACAAAACAAAAGGAAAUAGAAGAAGAAAGAAAAGGUCUAGAAGAGACCAAAGUCAAGAUUCAAAAGCUGAAAACUAAAGCUGAGCAGGAACAUCAAGACAUAUGCCUAAAAAUGCAAGAGUUGUGCACACUGCAAGAACAUAUUAAGAAAGAAGAAGAGAAAGAAGAAGAAAGGAUGGUAAAAGAAAAGAUGGAGAGAGAAGAAUUUGGUCAGAUAAAGAGUGAACUGGAAAGAGAGAAAACUAAAAUAGAUCAUGAGCAGAAGAAAAUUAAUGAUGCCAAAAAGAUCAUUGAACAGAAAAGAAAUGACCUUGAGAAGAUGUGGUCUGAAGUAAUGUUACAAAGAAAACAAAUAGAAGAAGAGAGAUCAGAACUUGACAACAAAAUAAAACAGACAGAUCUAGAAAAAUCUAAUAUUGAGAAAAGCAAAGAAAAUGUACAGAAAUUAUUGAAUGAGGAGGAAGAAAAGAGAAAUAAUAUUAAACUUCAUGAAGAAGAAAUUGAACUUGAGAGACAAAAGAUCAAUGAUGAAAAAGAUUUUCUGUCUCAAAUAAAGACAAAACUGCAAAAAGAAAGUGAACGAGUGCAAUACAUGGAAGAGGAAAUUAAUAAGGAGAGACAAACAAUGAAAGAAAAGGAAGCUCAUCUACAAAAGGAAAAGGAAGAAAUUGAGAGUGUCACUGAAAGAACAAACAGACAAAAAGAAGAUCUGGAAAGGAUGAACACAGAUAUAAAUAAACAAAAACAAGAGUUAAAGAACUGCAGAGACCUUCUAGAAAAAGAAAGAGAAGAAAUGAAUCAUAAAUUGACAGAAUUACAACAGAGAAUUUAUGAAUAUGAACAGUCAAAGACUGAGUCUAUGAGGAAUGUUCUGGAGGACACCAGAAAGAAAGAUGAAAAAACAGAAAUGGAAGAAAAACUUAAACAGGCUAAUAAGGAAUAUGAAAGAGUCAUAGAAGAAACAAACAGGAGAAGGGGUGAAUUAGAGAAAAUCAUGUUUGAUAUAUCACAACAAAAUCAAAAGUUUGAGACAGAGAAAGAUCUUCUGGAAAAAGAUAGAAAUAACAUUGAAAAGGAAAGAGAAGAUUUGCAAAGAAGGGCUGAUGACCUAGAGAAGCACAUGACAGAACAAAAAGAAAAAGAAGAGAUGAGUAAAAGAUCAAUGGAUGAAGAGAAAAAGCUUCUUGAGCACAAGGCUGGUGAAAUCUUGAGACAGAAAAAUGAAUUAGAGAAAGAAAAAGACGACAAGAUGAAGAAGUGGAAUGAGCUGGAUGUUCUCCAGAAGAAAUUGCAAAAACAAAGAGACGAAAUUGAAGAAAUCAAAAAUGACUUACAGACUGAAAAGGCUGAAAUUAAUCAACAGCAGCAAAGACUGGAGGAGAGUAUAAGAGUUGUGAAUGAGGAGAGAAGAGAUCUGGAGAACAUGAGAAAUGAUUUUGAAAAAUACAGACAACAAAUGGAAGAAGAAAUGAGAGUAAAAGCAAAGAUGGAGAGAGAGGAACUUGAUCAACUGAUGGCCAAGAUAUUGAUAGAACAAAAAGAAACUGAUAGGAGCAAGGAUAUGAUAGACCAUCUAAAGAAGGAAAUGGAGCAAACAAAAGCCGAACUCAAUGCUCAAAAAGAGCAAAUCAAACUGGAAUUGCAAAUAGUGCAAGAUGAGAGGCAAGAUCUGGAACAGUCCAAGGCUGAAAUCAAGAGACAGACUGAUGAAACAGAGAUCAUGAAAGAGCAGACACAACAGUUAGAAAAAGAGAAAGAUGUGUCUGAAACAUUAAAAGAAGAACAUCUAUCUGGACAGCUUCUUCAACAGAAGAGAGAAGAAAUGGCCUCUCAAGGAAAACAGAUACAGAUAGAUGAAGCCAACAGACUCUUGUCUGAGAUUCAAAGGGAAAGGGAAGCACUUGAAAGAAACAAAAAAAUCCUUGAACAUCAGAGAGAGGCACUGGACGAGAUGAAGAGAAAACAACCAACACAGAGGCUGGAAUUAAUUUUGGUUAGUUCUGCUACACAAACAUCUGAUCUAGACAACAUUCCUGUAGGUGACAUUUCAGCACCUCAGGAACAGAUUGUUGAGGAACACACAGGCAUUCCUAAGGAAUAUACAACUUUCAUGACAAAAGGGACGGAAGACGAAUUAGGGAUUAUGAGAGAUCAGGAGGACACAGAGCUCAAAAUGAGAAGUGAAGAAACCAAAAUGGACUCGAGCCAAGAAGACACUGCACUGGCAAAAGAAUAUAAAGAUAUACCUGAUCCAUCCAUGACAGUAAAGUUGGAGUUCAAUAAAGAUGAAGUCGAUGGCCUUACUGAAAUGUUGAUGACGGAGAAAAGGGAACUAGAAAAGACAAGACUUGUUUUACAGAGAGACCAGAAAGAGAUUGAGACAAUGAGACAACACACUGACAGAGAGAGGAAGAAGCUGGAGAAACAAUAUGAAGAGAUGGAGUUAUGCAGACAGAAUAUGGAAAAUGAAAGAUCUGAGUUAGAAAUGACUCAAGAUCAAAUUAAGAUGGACAUGGAAAAAAUUCUAAUGGAGAUCAAGAGCAAACAGGAGAAAAUAGAAAACAUGGAAUUUCAACUACAAAAAAAGAAGAGAGAAAUGGAAACCAUCUCUGCUGAGAUGAAACAGAGACAAGAGGAGUUGGACUUCAUAAAUACAGAGCUAAAACGAAAGAGACAAGAGAUGGUGGACACCAAAGAAAUGGAGGAACACGAGUUAACUGAAAUACUUCCAGAGAGAGAGGAGUAUAUAAAAAGACACCUGGAGGAAAUACAGAACCAAAAGGAAGCAUUAAGAAAGGAGAGGGAUGAAGUUGAAAAAAUACUCACUGGGCUGCAGAAGGAGCAAAUGGAAAUGGAGAUGCGUCAGGCAAUGCUGAACUCAGAAAGAAAUGAACUGAACAGAAUGAGAAUCGAUCUGGAGACACAUAAAGAGGAGUUUAGGCUUAUGAAACAAAACACAGAGACAGAAAGAGACAAGCUGGAAUCAAGGUUAAGGAGAGCAGAGGACAUAGAAAGACUUUUGGAUGAUGUACUGAAAGAAAAGGAAAGGGUAGAAGAAAUGGCAGCUCAACUUUUCAAAGAACAGGAAGAGUUUAAAAUUAUUAUGACUGAGGCGAAUAAAAGGAUAAACAAGAUUAAACAGAUUGAGGAGGAAAUGAAAACAAAGCAAGAAGAAAUGGAGCACACUGAAGAACUGAGACAAAAAGAGCUUCAUCAAAGGAGAGCAGAAUUUGAAAAAAUGAAGACUGAAAUUGACAAUGAAAGAGAAGAAAUUCAGAAGAUACAAAGGGAAUGUGAGAGAGAAAAACAUGAACUGGAGCAAAUAAAAACAGAUUUGCAGAAAGAGGAACCACAGAAAACCAAUGCAGAAGUGCAAUAUGAUGAAACUCACAGUGUUAUGCACACAUUAAAAGAAGAGAAAGAUGAAAUAGAAAGGAUGAAAGCCGACCUCCAGAAUGAGCAGAGAGAAAUUGAAAACAUGAUGGACAUUAUAACAAGAGAGAAGGGUGAGCUGGAAAAGAAGAAAGCUGAAAUGCAGCAAAUGGCUGCAGAAAUAAGGGACACGGACAGUGAUAAGAACUUACAAGAUAAAAUUAUCCAGAUUGAAGCAAUCCUCAAUGAAACCAAGAGACAGAAGGAUGACCUGGAACAGAUGAAUGACAAUUUGAACAGAGAAAAAUCAGAAUUGAAAAGCACUUGUCAGUUUCUAGAAAAAGAAAAGAGAGAAGCAGAAAUGAGAUUACAGGACAUGGUGAAUGAACUGAAUAUUAAGCUUAAGGAAUUAGAAAAUCUACAGUUCAAAACAGAGGAGAGAGAGGCAGAGAAGAAAAAUCUGGAGAAAUUUAAGGAUGAGAUGGCUAAAGAACGUGAAAAAAUUAAAAAGGAAAAUGAAGAUUUAAGAAUGAGAAGAGAAGAGCUGCUGCACAUGAAAGAACAAAUUCAAAAGCAGACAAAAGACCUAGAAGAAAUGAUGAAUGAAGUGACAAUGGAGAAGAGUGAGCUAGAACAAGAGAGGUGUGAAAUAAACAAACACAAACAACAAGUGGAAGACAUUGGGAAAGCUGCAGAAAUAAAGUGGGUUGAGACACAGGUAGCCACUGAAAGGUCCAGACAAGAUGACGAGGACAUGCAAGUCUUAAAAACUGAGAGAAAAAGACUAGCACAUCUGAAUGAUCAAUUGCUGAAAGAGAAAGAGGAAGUUGAAACCACCAAAGAGAGAAUUAAUAGAGAGAUGGAACAUAUUGAAAAGAUGCAAACCCAAUUAAAUGACCAAAAAGAAGAGAUCAAGCUUGAAAAACAAAAAUUAGAAGACAUAAGGACUGAGAUUCAACACGAGACAAAUGCUCUAGAGAAAAUUAUGAAGGACUUACAAAAAGAGAGGGAAAAUCUAAAUGCUUUAGUUAUUCAACAACAAAAAGAAAGAGAAGAUAUGGAUAAACUAGCAGAGGAAAACAAAAGAAGAGAGAAGCAUGCUGAAGUUGAGAUACAGAGACAGUUAGAAGACAUAGAAAAUGUCAAGGUGAGGUUAGCAAAAGAAAGGAAUCAAAUUGAACAGAUGAAUGCAGAAAUACAGACUAAACAUGAAGAGCUAGAGAAAAUAAUCAGAAAACAGCAAGAGGAUUUUGAAAUCAAAGAGAAUGACAUGCAAAGAGAAAGAAAGGCUUUGGAGAAAAUGAAUGCUGAGCUAGAAAGGAAAACCACUGAAAUGGAAAAUAAGAGAGAGAAAGUAACUCUAUGCGAAGCAGAUAUACAGAAACAGAAAACCAAAGUAGAAGAGCUAAGGAAUAUCUUAGAAAGAGAGAAAAUUGAACUUGACAGAGAGAAAGCAGAAGUAAAACAAGAAAAGCAAGAGAUGGAAAACAUUCUGAAAACCAUCAAGAGUGAGUUGGAAGACCUAGAGCAAUUGAGAAAUAAAUCUGAGGAAGAGAAGAAAGAUAUGCUGGACAGACUGUUAACAGAAAAACAUGAAAUGGAUCAAUUAAAAACCGAGUUACAGUUGGAGAAGAAGAGCAUUGAAGAGGAAAAGAAAAUGCUGAAGCAGUUAAUGAACGAAACUGAAAAUAAAAAAUCUCAACUGGACAGCAACAUUGUGCAAAUGAACAAUGACAAACAAAAUAUUCAAAAAGAAAAAGAACUUGACAUGCAAAGAAAAGAUGUAGAUAACUUAAGAAACAUUGUGAUGGCUGAGAAAAUGCAGCUGGAAAAGAGGCAAAUUGUUAUGAAUCAACAGCAGCAAGAGGUAGAUGGCUUGAUGAAUGAAAACAGAAAGGUGAGAAAUGAUUUAGAGAGCAUGAAAACUCAUCUAGAACAAGACAGACGACAACUACAAGAAAAAAUCAAAACAUUUGAAGAUCAGAAGAAUGUUUUUGAUCAAAUCAAAGUUGAUGCAAAGCAACAGACCGAUGAGCUUGAGAAAAUCACAGCAGAUCCUCUUGGAAAGGAAAGAGAGGAGACUGAUGCUUUGAAGAAAGAAAUCCAGAGAAAGAAAGAUGAACUGCAAAGCUUAAAUUUUGAAAUUGAAAGGUCCAAGCAAGAAAUGGCAGAAAACAGAGAACAGUUUGAAAAAGAGAUGGAAAAAUUAACUCAGAAAAGAGCAGAUUUACUGACAGAAAUUGAUCAGCAAGCCAAGACCCAAAUAAAGAAGAAAGAUGUAAAAACAGCAGUGGAGAGUGAAACACAGAUCCAAGCUGCUUUACAAAAGGUCAAGGAGGACACUGAAGAAGAAAAGACAGAUGCUGAAUUGCAGGCUGAUCUCCAGAAACAGAUGGAUGAACUAGAAGAACUGAGGAACACAAUUGAGGUGGAAAAAAAUCAGAUCGAAAAGAAAAAGCUCACAUUAGAUCAACAGCAGCAGGAAUUAGAAGACAUCAUGGUGGUCAUCAAACGAGAGAGAGAUGUGCUUCAGAAAGAGAAGUCUGAACUUGAUGAACACAGACAUAUGCUCAAUAAAAAUAUCCAGACAAAACAAGAAGAGCUUGAAAAGCUUAAUAAUGACAUUCAAAGGGACAAAAAGGAGAUUGAAAACAGCAAAAAGAUAAAUGAAAGUGAAAAAUAUCGUAUCGAAAAGGAGAGAGCUGAUUUAAACAGACUGAAGAAAGAGGCUGAAGACAGCAAACAAAGCAUACAACAUGAGAGAACUUUGCUGCAACAAGAUAAAGACAUGAUGCAGAAAGAAAAAGAGGACAUGGAAGGCAUUAUAGAAGAAAAGACAAGAACAAUGGAGGACCUGCAAAAGCAAAUAAACAGACAAUUAUCUGAACUGGAGAUGUUAAACAUGGAGAUUCAAAUAAAGAGACAGAAAGUAGAAAUGCAUCGCUUACCAGAAGAGAUGAAAACAAAAGAUCACUCAAAGAGGGAUGCUGAUGUCCUAAGAGAGGAUGUAGAAGUAAAGAAACAAAAAACAGAUGAACUUGAGAUAUAUCAGAUGAAGACCACCUCAGUAGAUGCUGAAACACAAACAUCUUUGGAUGACUUUAAGAAAACAGAUGAUGGUAGACAAAAGGAAUUAGAAGACGAAACGGCUGCAACAAAGAAAAAACAACCCACUGUGGCCAAGUCAAAAGACACGCACCCAUCUGAAGUGCAAGAAAUAAUGGACUCUUUAAACAAAGAAAUUGAAGAUUUGGAGAGAAUGAAGACAAUGAUGAAAAAAGAGAGACAUGAACUGGAACAAGCAAAAAAAGACUUUGAGAGAAAUAUGAAGGAAGUCAUGAAGGAGAAGUCAAGAAAUGAAGAAAAACUGCUACAACUUACACAAGACAAGGAGGAUUUAUCAAACAACCUUGAGAAGAAAAAUAAGGAAAUAGAGAGCAUCACAGAAGCAUUCGUGAUAAAGUUGGGACAACUGGAAGAGACUAUAGGGUCACUGAAAGAAGAGAAGGAAAACAUUGAAAAUGAGUUGCUUCAACAAAAGCAAAAUGAACAGGAGACACUAAAAAUCAAGGGAAAAACAGAUGAUACUUCCGUUAAAAGUGACAGGGAUGCUGAGAAAGUCACAUACAAAAAAGCAUUGGAACAAGUACAAGACACUAAAGAGGAGAAAAAGACAGACAGAGACAGCAGUCUGGAACUGACUGAGAUUCAUUGGGCCAAAACAGAUGGAGAAACAAAAGCAAAAAUCUACAAAACUGACACCCAAAGAGAAGUUCUUCAGCUAAUGGAUGGCACAACCCUAGAACGAGAUGAGCUAAACAUCAUGAGAGCUGAACUACAGAGGCAACAUGACGAAAUGGAGAAUAAAAUGAAGAUCAUACAAACUGGCCUUCUUGAGAUGGAGAAGGCAAAGGAUCACCUGCAUAAAUUGAGGGAUGAAUGUAAAACCGCUGAAGAAGAAAAGUCAGUGAUCAUGGAGAGUCUCGAGAGGAGGAGGAACAGCCUGGAGAAGGUUCAAGCUGAGGUACUGAGACUUACCAAGGAGAUUGAUUAUCUCACACAAAGCUAUGAAUGCAAAAGAAGAGAACUGCAACAAAUUGAGACUGACAUACAAAGACAGACAAGGACUGAGGAGACUCAACAGGAAACUAAUAUUCAGAGUGAACAAGAAGAUCAAGAAGUAAUAGCAACUACAAAAUCCAUUCAAGAACAUACAGAGGAUGUUAAGCAGAAGAGAACUCAAGAGACACAAACUGAAGACCAGGAAAGAGAUGCUCUACCACAGUAUGAAGAGAUAGAUGCAAUGAAAAGGAGAAUACAGGAAAUGAAAGAUGAACUAAAGAACAGAUUACAAGACAUACAGAGGAAGGAACUGGAAAGACUGGGAAUGCAAAGAGAACAAAUCGAGUUGGAGCUACGGAAAGCUGAAAUGGAAAGAUAUAAUGAAGCCCUCCAGCAUGAGAGGGAAACUGACAGACUCAUGCUCAUAGAAAAGGAAAAGGAAAUACUUCUGUUAAGGGAGUGUAUGCUGAUUGAGAUCAAUCGACUGAAGAGCGAAGAAACAGAAACAAGUAGUCAGCACUUGGAGAUUAUGGAGCGCCUCAUUAGUGAUGCAGCUCUAAGAGUGGACAGAUUCAGACGGGUGACGGACAGAGCCGUGCAAACGCUGAUGCUGGAAGGAGAUGGAGAGCAGAUUGGAGGAGCUCAAAGAGUGACGACUGAACAGAUGGAAAUAGUCGGUGGAAGGAUGGAGAUUUCUGUGCAUGCCCUGAGUGAAGAGAGGGAGGAAGGAGCGAGAGGAGAAUCCCAGAGAGGAGGCAUAGUCGGGCCAACUUCACGGAGAUUGCGGCUACUGCACUGGAUCAGACGGUGCUGCAGUUGCUGCUGUCCCAGAGACACUGUGGAGGAAACUGAGGACAUUUUAUAAACACAGGUCUUGUUCAUUAAGAAGAGAAGCCUUUCCUAAACAAAUACAAUCCAUGCAUUAUCAGUAUUUGUAUGUAUAUAUUUAUAAGUAACAUUUGGUGGGAGGAAACCACCCACAGCAUUUUAGUAGAAAAAAAAAAAAAAAAAAAAAAAAAAAAAAAAAAAAAAAAACACGUAAUACUGGAUAACAUAAGUACUUAGUAAUAUAAUUACAGAUUAUUUGCAUAGUACCAAAUGUUUAAUGUUUAUCACAGUUUAUAUAGUCCAAUAAAUCAGUUUUGCAUUUUUAAAUCACAACACAGAUGCUUGCAUAAGCCAGAAUGAAUCUUUCAUGAUUACAUACAGUACAUCUAUGCAAUUAACUUCUCAAAUAACUCAUUAGCAUAAUGUGUGUGUGUAUGUAUGCAUCUUUUGUUUUCACCAAUGUGUCAGUAAAACACUCUGGGUCAAAUGAUCCUAAAAUUAUCUGUUUUGAUUUCUCAUGACAAAUUGAUAUAAUUAGCUUGUGUUGUGUGUUUGGGUUCUUACACUUAAUCCUAAAUCUUUUGUUAAUGCUAAUUGGCAACUUUGGAAAUUUCUGCACAAUUAUCUGUGAAAAGCAAAGCUCACCUGUAAUGUUAAAAGGUAAUAUAUGCACAUUCCUUUGGGGAUGAGAAGAGUGCAGAUGAAUGUGAGAGGAUGGAUAUCCUAUUCAUGAGUGCUCGAGGUCGUGUUUGUUGCAUUCACAUCCUUGCAGCUCUGCAUGACAGGAGUGUUGCAGAUGUGCCCUAUAUAACACAGAUGGAUUUCACAAGGAUCCACAGUAUGUCUAAGAGUGAAUUACACUGGUAGGAUAAUUACAGAGGCGAUAUAAUUACCAACUGAACAAAAGGAGAGCUUUGUUCAUUUUAACCCAGUUUAAAAAUGAUGCAAUGGAUUUUUAGAUGAUAACACCAACAGGUUCAUUAAGAGGAUCAAACACCCAUGAGUUCCAAAACAAUUAUAUUCCAAUGUAAUAAGUAUAUGCCAGACUCAUGUACACACACACACAACAUAUUGUUUUUAAUGUAUUGCUUGAAUUUGUCUCACACACAAACAUAUUAUUUGUAAUGUCUUGCUUUGGAAUGAAAUAAACGUAAAUCUAAACCUAAAACUUUUGUAAUGCGUUCAUAUGCAUUCACAGUGAGAUUUGAUUUACUUUGUAUUGCUGUCAUUGUGAUCUAUCUUACCAUAUUCAUCAUUGUGACGACUCAAACCGUGGAAUGUAACGUUAGGCUAGUUGGAAAAACAGAGAAACACAUGCUUAGAAAUAGUGAUUUUCAGAAUAAAUAUUUGUGUUGAAAUUUAACACAAGGUAAUACAGGUUUUAAUUCAGUUUAAUAAAUCCACUGAAGCCUAGGUGAACAAAGUGGGUCGACGGAUGGCUGUGUUUACAACCUCCAACCAUGUAGGCUAACGCAACCACUCUGUUUUUGUCAAAUUUCGCUGCUUUGAUUUGAAAAUCGAAGUAACAACAACAACAACAAUAAUAAUUUAUUAUUAUUAUUAUUAUUAUAUAAGAAUAUAGGCUAAAUGCCUGCACUAUUAGCCUUUUUAUUUCACUAUGGAAAUAAAAACAAAAACGAAAACAAUCGUGAGAAAAUCCAGAGCUUUCCUGUUUUAUUUUAGUAAAAAUUUACAGAUCACAUCAUCGGUGGUUUGUCAUAUUUUUUCCUCAAUCAAUCGGUAAAGCGUUCAAGCAAUCGGUUAAACCUCCGAACGAUUCGUUAAAGAAUCAGAAUCGGUUCUACCGGAUCUUGAGUCAUCAACUCACUGAACUAAGAAAACAAAGCUCGGUCCGGCGACGAGUGCCAGUUGAUAGUUAGCGCGGAUUAUUUUGAGGAUUUUAACGAUGGGUAUUCAUGGGUAAGUUACGCAAAAAAAGCAGUCCACUGCCAUUCAAUUCUUUGAAUGUUAACCACAAACAGCUUUUGCUUGUUUGUACAGCGUUUAUGUUACGUACUCAGCCAACGUGACGUCCUGGGGACCUUUUUUUUGUUAGCUGGGUAUACAGUUUAUAAUGACAGAAAGUUAUUUUAGGGGAUGUUAAAACUUAACAGAAAGGCUUUUGUUUUUCUCCACAAAAAAAAUCCGUUGUCAUAUGUCACUCAGCAGCACGUGUUCAUCGUGCGCGCCCUUUAGUUGUAGAUGUAGGAGAGCAAUAUUAAUGUCAAAUAAAUUUAGAAUAAAUAUGAUUAUUUUAGAAGUUUCAGGCAAGAGGUCAUUUGAUAUUGUUUUUUACGGAAUUGUGGAUUAUAAUUGCAUAUUUUUUUUUAAAGCUGAAUCAAAUUCAAUUAUAAACAGUCACGUUAAAAAAUGUGCAAGAAUAUGGUUUUAUUGGAAAGUUUCUAAACACGUAAAAUACCACGUCGUGUCAGGAACUGGUUCUUUCCAGCGAAGUGAUUAAAAGUCCCUUCAGAAUGAAAGUUUCCAUCCAAACACAAGAGGGCAUCAGAGCUGCAUUCGCAAUACUUCAAAAAUCAGUUUUAGCUGGAAAUCGAUUUUCUUCUGUGAAGAAAAUAAAAUAUAUUUAAAAGAACAGGCCGAUUCGAUCAAGUCGAUCUUCAAGCAGACCUAAACUUUCCAAAUCAUUUAUGUUUAGCUAUUGCAACAUUGUGCUAAAGGCCUAUUUGCUCAUUAUGAUUAACUAAUAUUUUGUCUGUAUUCGCAUAAACCCUGACCUCGCCUUUCUGUGAUAACCUUUCACAGCAAACCGCAACAUAGCGGCUUUAAUUACUUCUGCUCAAAUCACCUCUUUCUAAUUGGCAUUAAAUAUUAAAUUCCCUUUACUGUUGUAAUGCUGCAAAAAAUAGUUUACACAAAUGUGCAAUUGACACACAGCCGAAGAGGUGAGAAGUCAUAAAUACUGAUGUGCCAGAAGUGCUGUGCUGGUUUAAUUAGCCUUACUGAUUAAAAGAAAAACCUAAAACAUAAAUAGAUAUUUCUAUAUUAUAGAGAAUAUAUUAUAGAGAAUUGACUUGGAAAGGAAAUGCAAAAUAUUUGAUUAUUGUGUAUUAGCAUCAUUAAAAGUGGAAUAGAGACAGUGAGCAAUCCAGUGCCAGUUUUGUCUUAAUGAAUGGAGUGACUCAGCUGUGUAGAAGAGGCUCAUUAGCAGACUUCAGUCAGGGUCUUGUGCCUCAGGCCAUAGUCUCUCAUGUACAGCCUCCCCUCUGCUGGAUGAGCCACAUUUGGAUGUGCUGUAAAACCAGGGGAAGCUAUAGAAGAAGAUGUAUGGCCACUAAACCCCAAAUGCGUGAUGGUUAUGCUCCUUCAUGCAGGUCAGUGGAUAAUGUAAUUUUGUGUAAUGAAUCUUAAAUGCAAGGAGGAAGUUCACAUUGCUGUACAUGUACACAAACACCCAGCAUUUGAAAUAAAUCUGCGAUUAUUCCUCAGCAUUUGUUCUUGGAGCAGCUGAAACCUGCCAUAUUUCAUACUGGCACAUGUGACGAGAUGUUUACUGCAAGCAAACUCAAGCAAAGGUCACUUUCUUCCCCUUUACUGCCAAGAGCUGUCACACGCCACAUUCCUGCGCAAACAUCCCAUGCAGAAAAAAAAAAAAAAUACAGCACAGCUCGGUGUCCAGUAGACAACGCCUGUGGAUUGUUUCUAUUUAUUAUGCAAAUGUCAAAACAUAUCACUAAUUGGUUUUAUGCAUGAGUGGCAUCUUUGAAGCAAAUGUCUGGCUGCUGGUUGACACGCACAUAUUUAACAUAAUGGGUUUUCCUAUUGCCGUCUGUCUGUGCAAUCGGUAUAUUGGAUGGAGACUAAAUACACAGGACAUUCAUUUUAACAAGAAGUUAUAUUGUGACUGGCUUGCUAUGGUAUAUGGUAGGCUAUAGGUUAUACUUUGUAUGAGGGAUGAUACCAAUAGUUUUAUACUGUUUUACAGGCAACAUAACAUUAUGAUUGAACCUUAAUUGACAACAUCAGUUCAUAUAUCAAUCCUUAUGAAUAGAGAAGCAUUAAAUGAUGAAUAUCACUUAAAGGGCUUGUUAAACUGUAAUUCAUGGUAACAAAAAAUAACGCUUGUAGUAGUGAGUGAAAUAUACAACGUAUGCAUGUAUGUUAAAUAUUGAUAAUAAAAUCAGCAAACGUGUCAUGAAUGAGAACAUGUAUGCUUUACUCUCUCAGACACUCCAGUGAACGCACUUGCACAUGUGGUCGCCUUUUUAUCCUUUUAUUGUAAGUUUUACCUUCCUAACUUCAACAAACUUUGGAACACACCGAAAUUCUCUGAAAAUCACAAUGAACUUGUGUUUCUGGACUCCUGCAUUUGUAUCCAUAUGAAUGUAAAUCAAUGGAAUGGAAAAUGUCAAUGGCAGAAAAACCGUUUUAAAGGAAGAACCUUUAUACCUCUGCAAAGGAUGUUUUUAAUAAUAUUUCAGCUGUGUUUGUUCAUGCAUUGAAAGUCAGUGGGAUCCAAUGUUGUUUGGACCAAAACGUUCAUCAAAGUAUCUUUUUUCAAAGAGCCAGUAUACCGAGCCAUUAUUUGCAAGACUAUCCUCUCAUUCAGUGCUUAUGUUAUUAAUUUAUGUUGUUGAGUGCUUUAUAGUAGAGACUUUUUCUCUCUCUGUCUCUCUCUCUCUUUGUGGACAUUCUGAAGCAGGUUUUAUUCUCUUCC
ensembl:lncRNA